rnacentral:tRNA from 1 species
UGGCUCAGUGGUUAAGAGCUCGGCUGCUAACCAAAAGGUUGGUGGUUCGAAUCCACC